CUUCCCUGCACCAUUCCCCCACUCCCAUCUCUCUCCAUCCGGGAGAUUUAACGGUACCGUUUUAAUUUUUAGAGGGUGCGGGCAAGGGUCAACAGUCAAUCGCUCCAGCUGAAAUUUAAGGGAACUCUUUUCAUUGGCCAGGGAACUUGGAGAAGGUGGGAAUUCCUCCCAGGUUAAAAAGCCCUGUCGCCCUCAUCUGUGUGGAUUUCCCUUCUGGGGUGCCCUUCCACAUACUCUCUUUCUCCUGGAAGCUUUCUCUCUUCCUCUCCUUUUUCUAUUUUUCUGCCUAAAUAAAUCACUUUCUGAAAACAGUGUUUUGGGGUGGGGUAUUUACUUUAUGAGCACACUGCACCAUGGUCUCCUCUCCCAUUCUUGGAUAAGUAAUAAACCAAAAACCUGGAAAAACGUCCUCUCGGGAGCCAAGGGCUCCCCUGAACCCCAACAUUACAUUUGGUGGGCCAGCCAGGAGAAGAAGACUUCAAACCGGAGAAGACUCUCACCAGAUGCAACCCCUCUAACUUAGACUUCCCAGCCUCCAGAAGGGUAAGCCAGAAAAAUUUAUAUUGUUUAUAAAUUACCCAGCCUGUGGUAUUCUGUUACACUAGCACAAAAUAAACUAAGACAAACUCUAAAAUAUAGUGAACAAAAACUAAACAAAACUUUGAAUGGGCACAACAGCAUGACAGAGAGGCAGAGAAAAGAAUUAGUGACCAUACCGAUUGCCUAAUCUGAACUACAGAAAUAAAAGUAAAAUGAGAUAAAAUAGAAAGAGAGAGCCUUGGGGACUAUGGGACUAUAGCAAAAUAUCUAAAAUGCAUGCUAUCGGAAUUCCAAAAGGAGUAAAGGAAAUGGACAGGGCUUUAAAGUAUUCAAAUAAUGACUAAAAACUUCCCAAAUUUUAAAUAAUGAC
rnacentral:lncRNA from 1 species